AAAACCUUUAAGAAUAGUCCAGAGAGGCUGUAAAGGUGUGCCAAAUUGAUUAUAUAGUAUACACUCACUUUGUAGUGUAAACUUUUUCAUAGACACACCCUGCCUUCUGGCAGGGUGUUUUUUGCU
rfam:Streptococcus sp. DF1 DF1_Contig2, whole genome shotgun sequence.